rnacentral:rRNA from 1 species
CGCAGCCGCGGUAAUUCCAGCUCCAAUAGCGUAUAUUAAAGUUGUUGCAGUUAAAAAGCUCGUAGUUGAAUUUCGGGGUCAGUAGGUCGGUCGUGCCACUGGUAUGAACUGGUUUCACUGAUUCCUCCCUCUUGUAGAACCGUGAUGCCAUUAAUUUGGUGUUGCGGGGAAACAGGACUGUUACUUUGAAAAAAUUAGAGUGUUUAAAGCAAGUUAACGCUUGAAUACAUUAGCAUGGAAUAAUGAAAUAGGACGUCUGUCUUAUUUUGUUGGUUUCUAGGAUGGACGUAAUGAUUAAUAGGGAUAGUUGGGGGCAUUAGUAUUCAAUUGUCAGAGGUGAAAUUCUUGGAUUUAUUGAAGACUAACUACUGCGAAAGCAUUUGCCAGGAUGUUUUCAUUAAUCAAGAACGAAAGUUAGGGAUCGAAGACGAUCAGAUACCGUCGUAGUCUUAACCAUAAACUAUGCCGACUAGGGAUCGGAUGAUGUUAAUUUUUAAUGUACUCAUUCGGCGCCUUACGG